rnacentral:rRNA from 1 species
GUGGGGAAUCUUAGACAAUGGGCGCAAGCCUGAUCUAGCCAUGCCGCGUGAGCGAUGAAGGCCUUAGGGUUGUAAAGCUCUUUCGUGGGGGAAGAUAAUGACUGUACCCCAAGAAGAAGCCCGGCUAACUCCGUGCCAGCAGCCGCGGUAAUACGGAGGGGGCUAGCGUUGUUCGGAAUUACUGGGCGUAAAGCGCACGUAGGCGGACUGGAAAGUCAGGGGUGAAAUCCCGGGGCUCAACCCCGGAACUGCCUUUGAAACUCCCAGUCUUGAGUUCGAGAGAGGUGAGUGGAAUUCCGAGUGUAGAGGUGAAAUUCGUAGAUAUUCGGAGGAACACCAGUGGCGAAGGCGGCUCACUGGCUCGAUACUGACGCUGAGGUGCGAAAGCGUGGGGAGCAAACAGGAUUAGAUACCCUAGUAGUCC